ACACAACCUCGUACCCAGGAUCUUUCUUUGGGAAAGACCCUGGCUGCGGCUGGUCACGUGCUUCAUCAAAAAUUUAGCGCCUGAGGGGGUGUGGGGAAAGUAUCAAAUUACAUCAACAUGCUUCCAGCGGGAUAUUCGUCAAAAACAUAGAUUUUGCGAAUUAUUACGUUCAAAAUACUUGCUAAUUUUUGUUUAUUUUCUUUGCUUUGAAUUUACAAGAACAUUGUUACAUUCUUACUUACAGUCAAGUCAAGAAACCAAGCAAAUCGUUACUCGCAGUGCUCUCUCGUGUUGUUAUUCAAUGCAUGCUCUCUUCACACUCGAGCGCGGUUAUAACAAACGUUUAUUUGUUGUAAUGUUUUUAAAAUAGGCCAUUACAUUUGUCCUUUCUUGUAAACGUUGAUACGCUUUGCACCGAUUCACUUGUUACUACGCGUCUUGUUUAUAAGAUUUUUAAAAGAAACAGUAUUGUCUAGGACUGGCCCAAAUAUUAGCAAAUGUAAACAUUUGAUAAUAGCCGAACAGAGAAAUGUCCAUAAGCAUAGAGGAAAUUUCAGUCAUUG